AGUGAACGCUGGCGGUAGGCCUAACACAUGCAAGUCGAACGGCAGCACAGUAAGAGCUUGCUCUUACGGGUGGCGAGUGGCGGACGGGUGAGGCAUACAUCGGAAUCUACUUUUUCGUGGGGGAUAACGUAGGGAAACUUACGCUAAUACCGCAUACGACCUACGGGUGAAAGCAGGGGAUCUUCGGACCUUGCGCGAUUGAUUGAGCCGAUGUCGGAUUAGCUAGUUGGCGGGGUAAAGGCCCACCAAGGCGACGAUCCGUAGCUGGUCUGAGAGGAUGAUCAGCCACACUGGAACUGAGACACGGUCCAGACUCCUACGGGAGGCAGCAGUGGGGAAUAUUGGACAAUGGGCGCAAGCCUGAUCCAGCCAUACCGCGUGGGUGAAGAAGGCCUUCGGGUUGUAAAGCCCUUUUGUUGGGAAAGAAAAGCAGCAGGUUAAUACCCCGCUGUUCUGACGGUACCCAAAGAAUAAGCACCGGCUAACUUCGUG
rnacentral:rRNA from 1 species